ensembl:lncRNA
GGAGAAACACGACACUGGGCUUGGAUCAAAUCAGCCCAAUGCGGGCACAUGUUACAGGCACUGUGGUGCAGAGAAACGGGCCAGACCGAAGAGCAUCGGACCAAUGAUGGAUUUUCCGUGUGAUGAGAGGGAUAAAGGCCCGCCGGUACAGAUGCACAGCCUCAGAGAGUUCGAGCAGGUAGGAACAUGUGCCGUGACGCGAGCUGUGCUCUAUCAUGAGGUAUUUCAGUGGUGAUGGGUAAUGUGUGCUGUGUCCUGGCUUGUGUCUGCUCCGGGGUAAUACCCACUAUGUGGGCAGAUGAUGGCGCAACGAAAGGUUUGUGUCAGUCAAAGUUCUUUCCACCGACUCUCCGCUGUUUGUUUCUUUUGAAGCAGCUGCAUGGAUGUUAAGAAUUUUGCCACUCUGUUUUUUUUUUUUCUUGCCUUCAUCCGUCCCGAGGUCAGACAUGCUUGUCCUCAUGUUGUCCCUCCAUCCGCUAAGGUGUUAUGACCAACCUUUGAUUUGUUUCUGCUUUUAGUCUCACUUAACCCCAAUAGCCCUAAUUGGACAGUCUGAAUCACUCUGUCAAGUAGAUUCUUUUAUGUGUCAACCUUUGAGAAACA